rnacentral:rRNA from 1 species
ACGCUGGCGGCGUGCUUAACACAUGCGAGUCGAGCGGAAAGGCUCCUUCGGGGGUACUCGAGCGGCGAACGGGUGAGUAACACGUGAGUAAUCUGCCCUUGGCUUCGGGAUAACUACCGGAAACGGUGGCUAAUACCGGAUAUGACCACUCCUUGCAUGAGGUGGUGGUGGAAAGUUUUUUCGGCCAGGGAUGUGCUCGCGGCCUAUCAGCUUGUUGGUGGGGUAAUGGCCUACCAAGGCUUCGACGGGUAGCCGGCCUGAGAGGGUGACCGGCCACACUGGGACUGAGACACGGCCCAGACUCCUACGGGAGGCAGCAGUGGGGAAUAUUGGACAAUGGGCGGAAGCCUGAUCCAGCAACGCCGCGUGAGGGAUGACGGCCUUCGGGUUGUAAACCUCUUUCAGUACCGACGAAGCGCCGAUGAUGGUGGUGACGGUAGGUACAGAAGAAGCACCGGCCAACUACGUG